rnacentral:rRNA from 1 species
GACGAACGCUGGCGGCGUGCUUAACACAUGCAAGUCGAACGAUGAAGGAGAGCUUGCUCUCCGGAUUAGUGGCGAACGGGUGAGUAACACGUGACUAACCUGCCCCUUUCUCUGGGAUAACGCUCCGAAAGGAGUGCUAAUACCGGAUACGAACUCUGAACACAUGUUCGGAGUUGGAAAGUUUUUCGGAAAGGGAUGGAGUCGCGGCCUAUCAGCUUGUUGGUGAGGUAAUGGCUCACCAAGGCGACGACGGGUAGCCGGCCUGAGAGGGCGACCGGCCACACUGGGACUGAGACACGGCCCAGACUCCUACGGGAGGCGGCAGUGGGGAAUAUUGCACAAUGGGCGAAAGCCUGAUGCGGCGACGCCGCGUGAGGGAUGAAGGUCUUCGGAUUGUAAACCUCUUUCAGUAGGGACGAAGCGAAAGUGACGGUACCUAAAGAAGAAGCACCGGCUAACUACGUGCCAGCAGCCGCCGCCG